UACGUAGGGUGCAAGCGUUAAUCGGAAUUACUGGGCGUAAAGCGUGCGCAGGCGGUUUUGUAAGUCUGCUGUCAAAGCGUCUGGCUCAACCAGAUAAAGGCAGUGGAAACUACAUAGCUAGAGUAAGGUAGGGGUAGAGGGAAUUCCUGGUGUAGCGGUGAAAUGCGUAGAGAUCAGGAAGAACACCGGUGGCGAAAGCGCUCUGCUGGACCUUAACUGACACUGAGGGACGAAAGCUAGGGGAGCGAAUGGG
rnacentral:rRNA from 1 species